GUAGGUGAACCUGCGGAAGGAUCAUUAU
rnacentral:ncRNA from 3 species